GCGCUGGUGGUUCUGUCGUGAAUUCUCACCUUUCAUGUGGGAGACCUGGGUUCAAUUCCUGGCCAAUGCA
rnacentral:tRNA from 1 species